rnacentral:rRNA from 1 species
UACGUAGGGGGCAAGCGUUGUCCGGAUUUACUGGGCGUAAAGAGCGUGUAGGCGGCCACGAAGGUCCGUUGUGAAAACUGGAGGCUCAACCUCCAGACGUCGACGGAAACCGUGUGGCUAGAGUCCGGAAGAGGAGAGUGGAAUUCCUGGUGUAGCGGUGAAAUGCGCAGAGAUCAGGAAGAACACCGAUGGCGAAGGCAGCUCUCUGGGACGGUACUGACGAUGAGACGCGAAAGAGUGGGGAGCAAACAGG